GACGAACGCUGGCGGCGUGCUUAACACAUGCAGGUCGAACGGAAAGGCCUGCUUUCCCUUGUGGAUUGCGGGUACUCGAGUGGCGAACGGGUGAGUAACACGUGAGUGAUCUGCCCCCAACUUGGGUAUAAGCCUGGGAAACUGGGUCUAAUUCCCGAUAGGACUGCAGGGUGGUGCCUGUGGUGGAAAACGAUUUUCUAGUGGUUGGGGAUGAGCUCGCGGCCUAUCAGCUUGUUGGUGGGGUAAUGGCCUACCAAGGCGGCGACGGGUAGCCGGCCUGGGAGGGUGGACGGCCACAUUGGGACUGAGAUACGGCCCAGACUACUACGGGAGGCAGCAGUGGGGAAUAUGGCACAAUGGGCGGAAGCCUGAUGCAGCGACGCCGCGUGGGGGAUGACGGCCUUCGGGUGGUAAACUCCUUUCGGCCGCGAGGAAGCCACCUGGUUGGAAGGGUGGUGACGGUAGUGGUAGAAGAAGCACCGGCUAACUACGUG
rnacentral:rRNA from 1 species